UUUAGUAUUAUUAUUAUUAUUUUUAUUGUUAUUAUUAUUCAGAGAGUGAGAAAAGUCUUCAACAUCUUGUGAAACAGUUCAGAGGAAUAGGACUGAGUAUGAAUACAGGGGAAAGAAAGUAUUGAACAAAAAAUAUCUAUAACAAUAAGUUAUUUCUUAUCUUUUAAAAAUAGAUAUGUAAGAAGCUCUUCUUGUUCGUAUACAGUAUCAGAAAUGGUACUUACAAGAACUUGAGGAGGCAUUUCCUUCAAAAUGGAAUAAAACCUAGGGUUCAUGGGAACACUGGUCGCAUUCCUUGUCAUGCUGUUUCUGUGGAAGGCAUUAAAGAUGUGGUAGCAUUUUUGGAGAACUAUGCUGAAGACUACACCAUAUUACUACCUGGGAGGAUACCUGGAGUGAGGGAUUAUGGGAAGGCCAAGCUAUUGCCGUCCAGUGUGUCCCGACACAAGGUUUACCGGCAGUAUGCUGAUGCUGGUAGGGAACAUACUCUCU